UACGUAGGGAGCAAGCGUUGCCCGGAAUCAUUGGGCGUAAAGCGCGCGUAGGCGGCCCCGUAAGUCCGCUGUGAAAGUCAAAGGCUCAACCUUUGAAAGCCGGUGGAAACUGUGGGGCUAGAGUCCGGAAGAGGCGAGUGGAAUUCCUGGUGUAGCGGUGAAAUGCGCAGAUAUCAGGAAGAACACCCGUGGCUAAGGCGGCUCUCUAGUACGGUACUGACGCUGAGACGCGAAAGCGUGGGGAGCGAACAGG
rnacentral:rRNA from 1 species